GUCACGGUGGGACAGAUGAUUGGGGUGAAGUCGUAACAAGGUAGCCGUAUCGGAAGGUGCGGCUGGAUCACCUCCUUUCUAAGGA
rnacentral:rRNA from 1 species